rnacentral:lncRNA from 8 species
GCUCUGUCCAUUGUGCUGACACAGUGCAGCAGAGAUACAGAUUUUGUGCCAACCUGUCACUCAAUCGUUAUAACUUUUAAAAUGUUUUUAUAUUGAGACAUUACAACAAAAACUGAGGGGGCACAAGUUUCAACUGAGGGGGCUAAUCCCCCUUUUGACUAAUCGUGGAACCGGGCCAGCUACAGUAUAGAGUAUAUUUUUUAUUUGAAAAAUUAUUUCUCACUGAUAUGAAAGAUACGUUUCGAAAACCGGUUUGAACGCGAUUAUUAUUUACUUUUCUAAACGUUAAAACAGAGCGUCGAAUGUUUGUUUACAUUGAGACAAAUGCGGGUGUAACACCUGAACCCCUGAAAACCAACAUACAGAGAAGGGUUUUCGAGAGCUAACGUUAGCAUACUGUAGUUAUCAGCUGAUUUAGUAGUCACACCAUGAUUAACUGUAUAUGGCAAUAAGGACGACGACAGUCAUUAAAACCAAAUGUAUAUACCGUUACUGUAUAGGUUAUUGGAUGAUCUAGACGACUUAAAAAUGUAAAAUAAACAAAAAUCCUCUAUCAAUUUUAGCUAGCUAGGUACAUUACCUUGAUUUGUUUCCGGAUGUGCGGAUGGGAUGUUGCGAAUCUUUGUUUCACUACGAACAAGUAAAUAGAGGGCACCGUAUCUCAAGACAUGACUGGAGAGAAACACUGUUUGGAGCACUGUACCUAGUCAAUUCACUUUGCUGUUUAAUGUAUGCAACUUGCUACAAUGAGUUCAGAUUCGGUUAUAUUGUUGGAGACGGUGACAUUUUCUGCUGAAAACCACCAAGAUCAACGGACUAAAGACCCCAAAGAAACCAACUAUCCAAUAGAUCCUCUUUUCACCAUUUAGAUGCACCAGGUGUGGACCAAAGACUCAAAAGAAAGGAAAACAAACCCAAAACACAAAGGAGAGGACGAAAGAGGUGUCCGGUGGAUGGCUGUCAAGUCACCGUCAUUCACCUACCUCGUCACCUGCGGCAGUUUUUUAUGUCAAAUGUUUCCGGAGGAGAGGACUUACCUGUUCCAGUGGAUGUCUUUCCAUCUUCUGAGGAUUCAACUGACAACGAGAGCCCACAAACACACAGAGGCGAGGACUUACACAUCCCAGCGGAUGUCUUUCCAUCUUCUGAAGUGUCUUUCUACAACAACAGCCCCAUAACAAAUGAAAACACACCACAGAUACAGUCAACAUCAGAAGUCUUCAUUCAACCUGAACAGUAAACAGAGGAGAGGACGAAAGAGGUGUCCGGUGGAUGGCUGCCAGGUCACCGUCAUUCACCUUCCUCAUCACCUGCGGCAGGUUCAAGAGUGGGGCUUCCCUAUGGCUCAGUUGGUAGAGCAUGGUGUUUGCAACGCCAGCAUGGUGCGUGCAACGCCAGGGUUGUGGGUUCGAUUCCCACGGGGGGCCAGUACAAAAAAACAAAAUGCAUGAAAUGUAUGCAUUCACUACUGUAAGUCGCUCUGGAUAAGAGCGUCUGCUAAAUGACAAAAUGUAAAAAUGGGGCAGAGAGGAUUCACAGUCUGCAGUGAACACAUUCGGGCCUCAGAGCACCAAGCAGACAUGGUGGCAGCAGCAAGGCUAAGAACAACUAUCACUCCAGGCCUUUCCCCAUGACAGGCUGUCAUGCAGUGGUCAAAAGUCUGCCAGCCCACCUGAGAAAGCAACACAAGCUUGACAAUAACUCUCCUCUAUACAGAGAGCUUCUUACAGCAUCACAGAAGAGAAACAAGGUCAAAUGUCAAUGAAUUAAUUUUAUGAUGUCUACUGUGAAUAAUUAUUCUACCUGAUGUAUUGAAGUUUAAUGAGAAAUAUGUAAUUGAAUUGGGACAUGAUUGAACAAGAGAAUAUUUGGGAAAGGAAUAAAGAAAGCGCUAGAACUGCCACACAGCUCGGCAAACUUCGAUGUCCGUUUUCCUUUAACUACAGCUGGCCGACUCAGACACCCUUUCUGAGGCCUGUAACAGAUACAGCAUAGAAAGACCAGCAUCAAUUCAUAUCCGAAGUGGUCUCACUCAUUUACACACAGACCUUUUUUGUAGGAUGUAAACCUUAUGUAUGUCCAGUGGUGUAAAGUACUUAAGUAAAAAUACUUUAAAGUACUAGGCAUUCCCUGUGGCUCAGUUGGUAGAGCAUGGUGUGUGCAACACCAGGGUUGUGGGUUUGAUUCCCACGGGGGGCCAGUACAAAAAAAAAAAAUGCAUGAAAUGAAAUGUAUGCAUUCAUUACUGUAAAUCGCUCUGGAUAAGAGCGUCUGCUAAAAUGUAAAAUGUACUACUUAAGUAGUUUUUUGGGUAUCUGUACUUAACUUUAUUAUUUAUAUUUUUGAAAACUUUUACUCCACUACAUUUCCCUGACACCCAAAAGUACUCGUUACAUUUUGAAUGCUUAGCAGGACAGGAAAAUUGUUUAAUUCACACACUUAUCAAGAGAACCUCCAUGGUCAUCCCUACUGCCUCUGAUCUGGCAGACUCACUAAACACAAAUGCUUAGUUUGUAAGUUAUGUCUGACUGUUGAAGUGUGCCCCUGGCUUUCUGUAUAAAACAUUUUUUUUAAACAUUGUGCCGUCUAAGUUGAUUAAUAUAAGGAAUUUGAAAUUAUUUAUACUUUUACUUUUAAUUUUGAUUCCUAAGUAUAUUUAAAACCAAAUACUUUUAGACUUUUAUUCAAGUAGUAUUUUGCUGGGUGACUUUCACUUUUACUUGAGUCAUUUUAAGGUAUCUUUACUUUCACUCAAGUAUGACAAUUGGGUACUUUUAAACCACUGCAGACAUAUUUGUUUCUAGAAAACCAUAGAAUGCGAAUGGCGAUGUCAAAAUUGAUGAGCAAGAAAUUAGCUAAACUCAGCAAAAAAAUAAACGUCCUCUCACUGUCAACUGCGUUUAUUUUCAGCAAACUUAACAUGUGUAAAUAUUUGUAUGAACAAAACAAGAUUCAACAACUGAGACAUAAACUGAACAAGUUCC